rnacentral:rRNA from 1 species
AGAGUUUGAUCCUGGCUCAGAUUGAACGCUAGCGGGAUGCUUUACACAUGCAAGUCGAACGGCAGCGCGAGAGAGCUUGCUCUCUUGGCGGCGAGUGGCGGACGGGUGAGUAAUAUAUCGGAACGUGCCCAGUAGCGGGGGAUAACUACUCGAAAGAGUGGCUAAUACCGCAUACGCCCUACGGGGGAAAGGGGGGGAUCGCAAGACCUCUCACUAUUGGAGCGGCCGAUAUCGGAUUAGCUAGUUGGUGGGGUAAAGGCUCACCAAGGCAACGAUCCGUAGCUGGUUUGAGAGGACGACCAGCCACACUAGGACUGAGACACGGCCCAGACUCCUACGGGAGGCAGCAGUGGGGAAUUUUGGACAAUGGGGGAAACCCUGAUCCAGCCAUCCCGCGUGUAUGAUGAAGGCCUUCGGGUUGUAAAGUACUUUUGGCAGAGAAGAAAAGGUAUCCCCUAAUACGGGAUACUGCUGGCGGUAUCUGCAGAAUAAGCACCGGCUAACUACGUGCCAGCAGCCGCGGUAAUAC